rnacentral:rRNA from 1 species
GACGAACGCUGGCGGCGUGCUUAACACAUGCAAGUCGAACGGAAAGGCCCUGCUUUUGUGGGGUGCUCGAGUGGCGAACGGGUGAGUAACACGUGAGUAACCUGCCCUUGACUUUGGGAUAACUUUAGGAAACUGGGGCUAAUACCGGAUAGGAGCUCCUGCUGCAUGGUGGGGGUUGGAAAGUUUCGGCGGUUGGGGAUGGACUCGCGGCUUAUCAGCUUGUUGGUGGGGUAGUGGCGUACCAAGGCUUUGACGGGUAGCCGGCCUGAGAGGGUGACCGGGGACAUUGGGACUAAGGGACGGCCCAGACUCCUACGGGAGGCAGCAGGGGGGAGUAUUGCACAGUGGGCGGGAGCCUGAUGCAGCAGCGCCGCGUGCGGGAUGACGGCCUUCGGGUUGUAAACCGCUUUCGCAUGUGACGAGGCGUGAGUGACGGUAAUGAGUAAAGAAGCACCGGCUAACUACGUG